rnacentral:rRNA from 1 species
CUCGUAGGCGCCCAACUAAGUCGGACGUGAAAUCCCUCGGCUUAACCGGGGAACUGCGUCUGAUACUGGAUGGCUUGAGUUUGGGAGAGGGAUGCGGAAUUCCAGGUGUAGCGGUGAAAUGCGUAGAUAUCUGGAGGAACACCGGUGGCGAAGGCGGCAUCCUGGACCAACACUGACGCUGAGGAGCGAAAGCCAGGGGAGCAAACG